ACUACACUCAAUACACCCACCCUCGUAAUGACAAGAGAUCAAAACUAUGAUAGCAUAAUCAAACAUAUGCAAUACACAACUUCAAACAAAACAGUAAAUUAAACAAAAUUAAUAUACACUAAAAAAAACCUAAACAUUGGCAUAAAGCAUUCUAAAUGAAUAAAAACAUUUAUGAAACUAAGAGUUAUUUACAAAAAUAAAAAUAUUGUCCACAUGACUUAAUCGGUUUGAACUUUCGGAA
rnacentral:lncRNA from 1 species